GACAGAGGCCUCGAGCGUUAGGCGGAAUCACUGGGCUUAAAGCGUGUGUAGGCGGAUCGUUAAGUACCUUGUGAAAUCCCACGGCUCAACCGUGGAACGGCUGGGUAUACUGGCGGUCUUGGGCCCUUCAGGGGCGACUGGAACAAGCGGUGGAGCGGUGAAAUGCGUAGAUAUCGCUUGGAACGCCGAAGGUGAAAACAGGUCGCUGGGGAUGUGCCGACGCUGAGACACGAAAGCCAGGGGAGCAAACGGG
rnacentral:rRNA from 1 species